rnacentral:lncRNA from 1 species
CCCACUUGCAUGAUAUUCUUAAUGCAUCUCAACAUAUAUUCCUAAGCCAGCCGUAAUAAAACUAAGGUUGCAAAUAUGAGAGUUUGUGGGUUGUUUUUUCUCUGUCUUUAUGUUGUUUUAGCGGGUACUGUUCUUGCCAGAAAUUUGGAUGAUGAAGAGAAAUUUCUGUUCGGGAAGGGAGGUUGGUUUGGUCAUGGUUUUGGCCACAAUGGUGGUUUAUUCCCUCCUGGUGGAUUUGGCCCAGGUGGCGGUCCUGGCCGCCCGGGUGGUGGUUUGUUCCCUCCUGGCGGAUUUGGCCCGCAUGGUGGCUUGUUUCCUCCUGGCGGAUUUGACCCAGGUGGUGGUUUGUUUCCUGGUGGACCUCCCUGAUUCGCUUGUGACAGGGAUUUAAAACAUCAAGAGUGGGCUUUGCACAAUCAGUAUAUAUAUGGCACUACUUUGUACUAAUAUAUUACACAAUAAUUUCGAACCGUUCACUACAAAUACUUGUACCUGUGUGAAUUCUACUUCAUAAUAAAUAAUUUCUUUACCUACUAAUCAUCUCUUAAUUCCUCUUCCUAAGAUCCUUUGAUUAGUUUUCAUUAUGCAGAUUCCGAAAUACUACGAAAUAUAUAUGUACAAAUUACGUGGCUUCUGAACUGAUUAACGUUGGAAACUAAACUAUUCUCCUAAAAAGUCAAUCCUAAGUAUUUUCUAACACAAUCAACAAAUUCAGAUUAUACAAAAGAGUCUACCAAUGGUCAAAGUGAUCCAUCUACGUACUUUAACCACAAAACUUAGAUGAAUCCUAUCCAUUCAAUUAGAUAAUCCGUCAAUUAUUCUUUUUAAAGCGAAAUUGGAGGAAACAAAGCAAUUUUUUCACAAUAUGAUACACAAGUCGAAUUCAUAUUAUACCAUCGAUUUUUCAUUACUUAAAUUACUUUAAGAUUCACAAGAUUAUUCGUAAAUAAGAAUUUGUUAAAUAUGAAAUGCGACGUAUUUUUGUCAAUCAAAAGGUUUACUUUUUCAUCUAUGCAUAAUUUUUAAACUUUACGAUUUUCUGAUGAAAUAUUUAUUUAGUGCUGAAGAAGAUUUAGUCGAAAAUAUAACUUGACAAACCCAGCCUUGAGCCUACUCACCAAAUUUAAGAAGAAAAUGGGAACAUAUAUAAUCUACUAUUAAUUACAUUAUUUCACGUAAAUAUGUAAAGAAAUCAAAUUAGUCAGGCGUUAUCCAAAAGUUCCAAAUCAAAAUAGAAAAUGGAAGUUAUUUUGUAAGUAACUGAAACGCUAAACCCCUUAAACUUUGUACUGUGACCAUUCAGAAUCAUCACAUUCACUCCAUGAGCUUUCUUAAAUAACUAUUUCGAAAUACUUUAUUUUUCCUUUUAAAGUUUUCUCCCUUUAUGGGGAAUCGGGGGUGAUUGAGGUUCAAAAAAUGAAAGAUUAUGCCUAAUUUGUCAGCUUAGACCUUUGCCUUUAUUUGUAGUCAAUUUUAUUUUUAUUUUUGAAGAACAAAAAAUUAUGCAUGCAUCCCUCUGCAAAAUCUAUGUAUGCCUGAUUUUGUGUGGGAAGGGAAGGGUAGGGGAAGGGGUUGUUUUUAGGUGAAAUGUAAUAUUGAUGGCAUCAUUCAAUACAAUCUUUCCUUAAUAUAAGGUCUAAAAAUCCUAAUUGAGUUAUACUACAAGUACAUAAUUUUUGCACAGAGUCAGAUGUCAAAACAUCAUUCAAAUUCAAAGAUGUGAAAAAACAUUAAACAUAGACGGACAAAAUUUUUCUAUUUCAAAAUCUUGUAUGAAUUCUGUAAGUUUUCCCUGUAGGGAAAAAUCCUAAUUUUAGAAUUAUUGAUGCAGUUCUAUUUUAAGUUACUGCAAUGUCGUAGAUAAUAUAAUUUGACAGGACGAUAUUCCUCUUCUAACUUUAGAGCCUAUUUGGGAGUGAUUUUAAGAAUUGAUUUUUUGACCGUUAGGAGAAAAGUGUGUUCCACCUGUGAGAGAAGAAGUCAAAUAUGACGGUUGGAAUAGCAAAAUAACGGUCAAAAAAUCAAAUUUUUGGGUGAAAAAAUCGGGCCCAAACAGCCCCUUAGUUAGUAGGAUUUAAUUAAAUUAUCGACUGAAAAUGAUGAUGAAGAAAUCGAGCAAGAUUACAAGCAGGUCAGAUCCACUGUCUUCUAAUGUUGUUGUGUCUAAAGAUUCUUUAUGUGCUCCGUCAUUGCAUGCCCUUCUAGAUACAACUUGUGCCAAAGUACCUUAUCUUAUCUACGCAUCUUGGUGCAAUUUUAAGGAGAAAUGUAUAUCUAUACUUAAUUUCUAAUAUAGAAAUAGGUUUAAAAAAAAAAAAAAAAAAAGGUGGACUUGGAGACAUUCUUUCCCUGUUUGGUGUACCUCAAAUAGUUGAUUAAACUUCAACUUUAAUAUCAACAAUUAAUUUUAACAACACAUUUCUUAUGACACAGAAUUUUUAUCAACUUUUCAAAAAUAUAUUUCAUCAAUUUUUAUCAAAAUCUACUUAAAUAUAAUUUUUCGCUACAACAAACAAAGAUAAAUGUCAGUGUGUUGAAAGGUAGUUGUUGGGCAACAAAACUAGUAUAUAAUCCCACUUGCAUGAUAAUCUUAAUGCAUCUCAACAUAUAUUCCUAAGACAGCCGUAAUAAAACUAAGGUUGCUAAUAUGAGAGUUUGUGGGUUGUUUUUUCUCUGUCUUUAUGUUGUUUUAGCGGGUACUGUUCUUGCCAGAAAUUUGGAUGAUGAAGAGAAAUUUCUGUUCGGGAAGGGAGGAUGGCUUGGUCAUGGUUUUGGCCACAAUGGUGGUUUAUUCCCUCCUGGUGGAUUUGGCCCGGGUGGUGGUUUGUUCCCUCCUGGUGGAUUUGGCCCAGGUGGCGGUCCUGGCAGCCCGGGUGGUGGUUUGUUCCCUCCUGGCGGAUUUGGCCCGCGUGGUGGCUUGUUUCCUCCUGGCGGAUUUCGCCCAGGUGGUGGUUUGUUUCCUGGUGGACCUCCCUGAUUCUCUUGCGGCAGGGAUUUAGAAUAUCAAGAAUGGGCUUUGCACAAUCAGUAAUAUAUAUAUGGCGCUAAUAUAUUCCACAAUAAUUUCGAACCGUUCACUACAAAUACUUGUACCUGUGUGAAUUCUACUUCAUAAUAAAUGAUUUCUUUACCUACUAAUGAUCUCUGAAUCCCUCUUUCUAAGAUCCUUUGAUCAGUUUUCAUUAUGCAGAUUCCGAAAUACUACGAAGUAUAUAUGUACAAAUUAUGUGGCUUCUGAACUGAUUAAUGCUGGAAACUAAACUAUUCUCCUAAAGAGUCAAUCCUAAGUAAUUUCUAUCACAAUCAACAAAUUCAGAUUAUACUAAAGAGUCUACAAAUGGUACUUUAACCACAAAACUUGACUUAAAAUCGGUGGUAUAAUAUGAAUUCGAGCUUUGGCCCGGCUCAAGGCCCAAGAUCCCCAUUUUGGGGUGCUUUUGUAGCUCGUCAGCUUGGGCCUAAAAAAAAAAACGACAGAUCAAAGGUAGCAGGCUACUGCCUUGCUGCCUUAUGUAUUAGGGAAAAAAAAAUCAAGCCAGGUUUUGCUUGGCUUAAGCUCGCAAAAAUGCUCGGAUCAUUUUAUCCAAGUCGAGCCCGAGCCUCGAGUUUCGGCUCGGCUCAUUGACACCACUAGGAAGUUUUUAGGUGAAAUGUAAUAUUGAUGGCAUCAUUCAAUACAAUCUUUCCUUAAUUUAAGGUCUGAAAGUUGUAUUUGACAUUAAUUUUAGAUUUAUUGAUGAAGUUCUAUUUUAAGAUACUGCAAUGUCGUGGAUAAUAUAAUUUGACAGAACAAUGUUCCUCUUCUACCUUUAAUAAGUAGGAUUUAAUUAAAUUAUCGACUGAAAAUGAUGAUGAAGAAAUUGAGCAAGAUUACAAGCAGGUCAGAUCCAUUGUCUUCUAAUGUUGCUGUGUCUAAAGAUUCUUUAUGUGCUCCGUCAUUGAACGCGCUUCUAGAUACAACUUGUGCCAAAGCACCUUAUCUUAUCUAUGCAUCUUGGUGCAAUUUUAAGGAGAAAUGUGUAUGUACUUAAUUUCUAAUAGAGCAAUAGGUUUAAAUGUCAUUGUCGAAGAGAAAUGUAAGUUAGCAGUAAGUAUAGUAAACAUUAAUUGCAUUAUUUUUAUUUUUUAUUUUUUUUCUGCAAAUGUAUAUUCAGCCUUCUAAAAAUGCUAAUUGGAGAUGUUGAAGGUUGUCAUGAACAAAUUGCUUGACAGCCGUAUAGCAUAUAUGUCAAAGGUAUGUUAUAUCUUUGUAAGUUAAACAACUCUUUUUUACACAUAUUUUUUUAGUGAAAUCGCUACAAAGGUGUAAUAUUUAUUCUUAACUCUUUUACAAAUCAGACCGUCAAAUAUGAUUCCCAUCUAACAUUCCAAAUUAUUACUCUCGAACAUAUAUGAAUUGGAAUUCCCUCUUAAUGUCAUGCGUUCAGUUGAUGCAUGUAGUUGGGUCUAAUGAUCCAACAUUAACUUGCACGAUACAAUUUGAUUUUUAGGUCACUAUUAAAGGUCGAAUGGCAAAAUUUGUUGGAAAUUAAAUUUAAUUCAUGAAUGAUGAAAAAAAUUAAAUUUGAUACAUGAAUUAGUUUAUUUAAUAUUCAUGCAUUUAUUUAAAUCAUGUAUCCAAAUGAUUCUUUGCAUCCUAUUAUUCAUAGUAUGUAGGAAAAGUCAUUAAUUAGUCUAUUAAGUUCAUACAAUGUAUUUAGGAUCCUUUGUACUUAUAAAAGGUCUUGUGUUUGAGACAUUUUAUAGAGCCAAGCCAUAAAAUACAAAUAUUUUUGAAAAUUCUCUGAAUUUUUCUCUCUAGCCUUUCAUCCCAUAAUAUUUUAUUUCCAACAAAGUGGUAUCAGAGCCAUUUCAAAGAUGAAUAAUUCAUUUCCUUUUGUUGUACCCAAACUAACAAAGGAAAAUUAUGGAUAUUGGAGCAUACGCAUGAAGGCGUUGCUUAGCUCACAAGAGGCAUGAGAAGUUGUAGAGAAAGGCUAUGAUGAACCGAAGAAUGAAGGAGCUUUAAGUCAAGCUCAAAGGAAUGCCUUGCAAAGGUACCGCAAGUUAGAUCAACACGCUCUCUCUAUUUUCACAUGGGCUUAGAUGAAGCCAUGUUCGAGAAAGUUGUGUCCUCAACAAAAGUUAAGGAAGCUUGGGAGAUUUUCGAGAACAAUUUCAAGGGAAUUGAAAAGGUGAAGAAGGUGCGUCUUCAAAUCCUUUGUGGAGAGUUUGAAUCUCUACACAUGAAAGAGUCUGAAUCUGCCUUUGACUAUUUCACUAGAGUGUCCUCCAUUGUCAAUUAUAUGAAGCAGUACAGGGAGAAUAUUGAAGAAAGCCGUGUCAUCGAGAAAAUUCAUAGAUCGCUUGACUCAAAACUUGAGUUUGUUAGUAUUGUCAUUGAAGAGUCUAAUAACUUGGAUACCAUGACCCUUGAUCAACUCAUAGGGUCCUUGCAAGUAUAUGAAGAAAGAUUGAAGAAGAAAGGAGAACCGGUGGCUCAAGUUCUCCAAACGAAUGUCUCCUUGGGAGGUCNNNNNNNNNNNNNNNNNNNNNNNNNNNNNNNNNNNNNNNNNNNNNNNNNNNNNNNNNNNNNNNNNNNNNNNNNNNNNNNNNNNNNNNNNNNNNNNNNNNNNNNNNNNNNNNNNNNNNNNNNNNNNNNNNNNNNNNNNNNNNNNNNNNNNNNNNNNNNNNNNNNNNNNNNNNNNNNNNNNNNNNNNNNNNNNNNUUGAGGGGGCAUAUUGAAUAAUUACAUAUUUAGGAAGAUUUCUUUCCUUGUCAAUUGCAUUGUUUUAUUACAGAAUGAUUUCCUUUCCUACAUUAGAUUAAUACACAUUUUCUUUCAUUAUAAAAAGAGUUGUGUAACAUAUUCAUUCAAUUCUGAGAAGGAAUUCUUCAUUCAUAAAUUAUAUUCUAUCAAAUUCUAACAAUCUCAUCAUCGUUGCAACAAAUAACAAUUGUAACCUUCUCUUUAUUUUGCUUUUGGCCCACCAAUUACUUUGUUGCAAGAGAAGUAUCGGCUUGCAUUCGAUAAAAUAAACUAGUUUCAUCCAUAUUGUAAGUGUCUUUCCAAGCCCAUUUGUUUAAUUCAUCUUCUAUUGGUGGCAAAAUAGUAUCAAUUUUCUCCAUAUCAUCUGAACCAUUCUCCUCAAAGUAAUAGAAAGAAUGAAUUGCAUUUUGUUGCUUGAACUUUUCCAAUUAUCCAUUUGAAAAUUGAAAUGAGAUAACUUCGAGAUAGAGUUGCCUUAAAAUAAAAUUCCUUUCUGUUUUAGCAUUACCACUCAUAUUAACAUGCUCUUGAUGGCAUAAAAAUCAUUUAUAGAGGGUACACUCUAUUGCUGGUACAUUAGUGUCUUUCAACGUUUUGCAUUUGCGUUCUACAAUACUUCUUAAGGAGGUCGGUUGAAAAUUUGAUUGUCUUAGAUAUUGCAACUUGUGGUACCUUAAGACCUUAAAUAUAUUCUAACUGGUUCACAAGAUCUUUUAGCUUUCAGAUAGGGUUUGAGUUUUUCAUUUUGCACAACUCCAUACAAAUAUUUUCGAUUGGUUGAGUUUGUACAUUAAUUUUUGAUAGCAUGGUGAAUUUGCUAGAGAAAGAAAGAAAUGUAUCACUUCAAUUGGUUGAGCAUUGCAUAGGUUGUAUUAUAUAAAAUGUAUUCACAAAUUGAAAAAAAUAAUAAUAAUAAUAAUAAAUACAUCGAAGAGAAUAUAGGCUUUUAGACUUUUAAGAUUAAUGCUUUGCAUAUUUUUGACACUAAAUGAAUACAUAUAAUAGUUUUUUUAAUAUUAUGUCAUCUCUUUUUUUAGUGUUUAUACCUUGAUUUUAACAUUCUUCAUUUAUUAAUUAUAUUAAUAUAGUAUAUAUAGGCACUUCCAAUUAGGAUAAUUAAGUCAAAAUAAGAUUUUUUGUGAUUACACCUCUAUGAAGUUAACCUCCUCAUAGUAAUGAAAUUAGUUCGGUCCCAACAGUAUGACUAUAGAGAGGUUUUAAUGAACAUCGAAGACAUAAGUUAAAUUUAAAUGAAUGAAUACGUCAAUCUAUGUGGGCUCAAUCUCUUAGAUAAGUGUUCAACGAAUUAUUAAUUUGAAACAUAAUUCAGCGUAUUUAAUUAGAUUAAUUUGACUGUCUGAUCAUCCUUCAUCAACUAAUGGUCUAUUAAUCAUCAGUUUUUUUUGGUAGACAGGUGAAAGAAUUUCUGCCUAAUGCAUUAGGAGUUCUUCUUUGUCUCACCAAAAAAAAAAAAAAAAAUUCAACUUUAAUGUCAACAAUUAAUUUUAACAAAAUAUUUCUUAUGACCCAGAAUUUUUAUCAACUUUUCAAAAAUUUAUUUCAUCAAUUUUUUUAUCAAAAUUUAUUUAAUUAUAAUUUUUCGCUACAACAAACAAAGAUAAAUGUCAGUGUGUUGAAAGGUAGUUGUUGGGCAACAAAACUAGUAUAUAAGCCCACUUGCAUGAUAUUCUUAAUGCAUCUCAACAUAUAUUCCUAAGCCAGCCGUAAUAAAACUAAGGUUGCAAAUAUGAGAGUUUGUGGGUUGUUUUUUCUCUGUCUUUAUGUUGUUUUAGCGGGUACUGUUCUUGCCAGAAAUUUGGAUGAUGAAGAGAAAUUUCUGUUCGGGAAGGGAGGUUGGUUUGGUCAUGGUUUUGGCCACAAUGGUGGUUUAUUCCCUCCUGGUGGAUUUGGCCCAGGUGGCGGUCCUGGCCGCCCGGGUGGUGGUUUGUUCCCUCCUGGCGGAUUUGGCCCGCAUGGUGGCUUGUUUCCUCCUGGCGGAUUUGACCCAGGUGGUGGUUUGUUUCCUGGUGGACCUCCCUGAUUCGCUUGUGACAGGGAUUUAAAACAUCAAGAGUGGGCUUUGCACAAUCAGUAUAUAUAUGGCACUACUUUGUACUAAUAUAUUACACAAUAAUUUCGAACCGUUCACUACAAAUACUUGUACCUGUGUGAAUUCUACUUCAUAAUAAAUAAUUUCUUUACCUACUAAUCAUCUCUUAAU